UACGUAGGGUGCGAGCGUUAAUCGGAAUUACUGGGCGUAAAGCGUGCGCAGGCGGCUUUGCAAGAGAGAUGUGAAAUCCCCGGGCUUAACCUGGGAACUGCGUUUCUAACUGGCAGGCUUGAGUGUGGCAGAGGGGGGUGGAAUUCCACGUGUAGCAGUGAAAUGCGUAGAGAUGUGGAGGAACACCGAUGGCGAAGGCAGCCCCCUGGGCUAACACUGACGCUCAUGCACGAAAGCGUGGGGAGCAAACAGG
rnacentral:rRNA from 1 species